AGCGAACGCUGGCGGCAGGCCUAACACAUGCAAGUCGAACGAACCUUUCGGGGUUAGUGGCGGACGGGUGAGUAACACGUGGGAACGUGCCUUUAGGUUCGGAAUAACACUGGGAAACUUGUGCUAAUACCGGAUGAGCCCUUCGGGGGAAAGAUUCAUCGCCUUUAGAGCGGCCCGCGUUUGAUUAGCUGUUUGGUUGAGGUAAUGGCUCACUAAGACGACGAACAGUAGCUGGUCUGAGAGGAGGAUCAGCCACAUUGGGACUGAGACACGGCCCAAACUCCUACGAGAGGCAGCAGUGGGGAAUCUUGCGCCAUGGGCGAAAGCCUGACGCAGCCAUGCCGCGUGAAUGAUGAAGGUCUUAGGAUUGUAAAAUUCUUUCACCGGGGACGAUAAUGACGGUACCCGGAGAAGAAGCCCCGGCUAACUGCG
rnacentral:rRNA from 1 species